rnacentral:misc_RNA from 1 species
CCAUUUAAAUAUUUCUAUCAAUGAUCUAAUAUCAAGUUUAUAUAGUCGAGCUGAGCAGAGUACUUCAGUUAAUGAUGAACAAAGUCUGAGAGAAAAUGGAUUGGAUUUCACCAAAAGUGUGAUGACCUCUAAUUUGGCAAAUGCUAAUCAUGAUUUUGAUGUUGAUUCCUGGGAAUUUCAAGAUGUCUCUACAGGAGCCAGAGCUGAAUACCAGACCGCUGUUAUUGGUCUUGGAGAGUCUCAUACAAAAUAUUCUACCAAAACAGAGCUAGAUGAUUAUGUGGAAUUCUUUUCCAAAUUG